rnacentral:misc_RNA from 1 species
UACGGAGGGUGCAAGCGUUAUCCGGAUUCACUGGGUUUAAAGGGUGCGUAGGCGGCUCAGUAAGUCAGUGGUGAAAGCCCAUGGCUCAACCAUGGAAUUGCCAUUGAAACUGCUAAGCUUGAGUACAUUUGAAGUGGGCGGAAUACAUCAUGUAGCGGUGAAAUGCUUAGAUAUGAUGUAGAACACCGAUUGCGAAGGCAGCUCACUAAACUGUAACUGACGCUGAGGUACGAAAGCGUGGGUAGCGAACAGG